rnacentral:rRNA from 1 species
ACGAACGCUGGCGGCGUGCCUAAUACAUGCAAGUAGAACGCACAGUUUAUACCGUAGCUUGCUACACCAUAGACUGUGAGUUGCGAACGGGUGAGUAACGCUUAGGUAACCUGCCUGGUAGCGGGGGAUAACUAUUGGAAACGAUAGCUAAUACCGCAUAAUAUUAAUUAUUGCAUGAUAAUUAAUUGAAAGGUGCAAUUGCACCACUACCAGAUGGACCUGCGUUGUAUUAGCUAGUAGGUGAGGUAACGGCUCACCUAGGCGACGAUACAUAGCCGACCUGAGAGGGUGAUCGGCCACACUGGGACUGAGACACGGCCCAGACUCCUACGGGAGGCAGCAGUAGGGAAUCUUCGGCAAUGGACGAAAGUCUGACCGAGCGACGCCGCGUGAGUGAAGAAGGUUUUCGGAUCGUAAAGCUCUGUUGUAAGAGAAGAACGGGUGUGAGAGUGGAAAGUUCACACUGUGACGGUAUCUUACCAGAAAGGGACGGCUAACUACGUG